rnacentral:lncRNA from 1 species
CGAAAAAGAUGCCUUCGCUUGAAGCAGAGAAACAGCCGGCGCAGGUGCAGGUCCGGUCUGUGUGGGCCGACAACCUGGAGGCGGAGUUCGACAACAUCCGUGAGGCCGUGGAGCGCUACCCCUUCGCCGCCAUGGACACCGAGUUCCCCGGCGUCGUUCACCGCUCCCGGAAGCACCCCGCCCACCUCUCCACCGCCGAGCGGUACGCGCUGCUCAAAGCCAACGUCGACGACCUCCACCUCAUCCAAGUCGGGCUCACCCUCUCCGACGCCGCCGGCAACCUCCCCGACCUCUGCGACGACGGCGGCGUCCGCUACAUCUGGGAGUUCAACUUCAGUGAUUUCGACCUCUACCGCGACCGCUACGCCCCCGAGUCCAUCGACCUCCUCAAGUCCAACGGGAUCGACUUCGAGAAGAACCGGGCGCGGGGAAUCGACUCCCGCCACUUCGCCGAGCUCCUAAUGUCGUCGGGACUGGUGUGCAACGACUCGGCCGUGAGCUGGGUGACGUUCCACAGCGCCUACGACUUCGCAUACCUGAUCAAGAUCCUAACUUGCCGCCGGCUGCCGGAGCAUCUGGGCGGAUUCAUGGCCUUGGUGAGGGUUUUCUUCGGGGACAAGGUGUUCGAC